rnacentral:rRNA from 1 species
GGGAAACCGGAGCUAAUACCGGAUAAUAUUUCUAACCGCAUGGUUCGAUAGUGAAAGAUGGUUUUGCUAUCACUUAUAGAUGGACCUGCGCCGUAUUAGCUAGUUGGUAAGGUAACGGCUUACCAAGGCGACGAUACGUAGCCGACCUGAGAGGGUGAUCGGCCACACUGGAACUGAGACACGGUCCAGACUCCUACGGGAGGCAGCAGGC